CUUUUACAAUGAAGAGUUUGAUCCUGGCUCAGGAUGAACGCUAGCUACAGGCUUAACACAUGCAAGUCGAGGGGCAGCAUUUUAGUUUGCUUGCAAACUGAAGAUGGCGACCGGCGCACGGGUGAGUAACACGUAUCCAACCUGCCGAUAACUCCGGAAUAGCCUUUCGAAAGAAAGAUUAAUACCGGAUAGUAUACGAANNNNNNNNNNGGAAUAGCCUUUCGAAAGAAAGAUUAAUACCGGAUAGUAUACGAAUAUCGCAUGAUAUUUUUAUUAAAGAAUUUCGGUUAUCGAUGGGGAUGCGUUCCAUUAGUUUGUUGGCGGGGUAACGGCCCACCAAGACUACGAUGGAUAGGGGUUCUGAGAGGAAGGUCCCCCACAUUGGAACUGAGACACGGUCCAAACUCCUACGGGAGGCAGCAGUGAGGAAUAUUGGUCAAUGGGCGA
rnacentral:rRNA from 1 species